ACCUGCAUUCACAAGGGGUUGAGGUCUCACCCAUGACUCGGUCGUUGACAAUGCAGGGAGAGGACCUCCAAAAAUGUUUGGUGGGUUCGAUCCCGUCCCUCCCAAACCCUGUAGCUUUCAGGCA
rnacentral:snoRNA from 1 species